UUCAAUAUGGCAGAUAAAUGCAUUAAUCUUAAAAGUUAACCAUAAAACAUAUAGUUUUUAUUGAAA
rnacentral:tRNA from 1 species